UUAAAAAAAUAUGAUUAAAGGUUCACUCCAAACUAAGUAUUGGUACUUGAAGUACUAUACACACACUUUAAAUUGCUUAUAUAGAGAGGUGGGUGAAGACAAGGAAAAUAUAGACCUUUUUAAAAUAAUUUUUCCUCCUUGUAUAUUAUAGGAACCUUUGACAAGAGUUAUCAUUAAUUGUACAUUUUCAAGCUGGACAAAAGUGAUAAGUUGUGUCCCUCAGAGUUGUGUUCUGGGACUACUUGUAUGAUCUUGAAAUAAGCAUCAGGAAUGUGGAGUUUUGCUAUUCUUUUAGCCCCGCCGUGGGGUUUUUUGGUGCAGUGGAAGGAAAGCCCUAGUACAGGGAUAGGCAACCUUCGGCACUCCAGAUGUUUUGGACUACAACAUAAUGCUCUUACACCCAUAAUGCUGGCAAAGUAUCAUGGAAGGUGUAGUCCAAAACGCCUGCAGUGCUGAAGGUUGCCUAUGCUUGCCCCUAGUACAUCGCCAGGGAUGAGAAGGUGUGAGAAGCAGUAGCCGCACAUCACAAGUCACAGAGCUUAUGGCUGCUGGAAAAGAGCAUAUACAUGCUGCCAACACUCUGUGCAUGGAGGGAAGAGGACAAGCUGCAGGCCUACUUCUGGGCUGUAAAGGCUGCUGGUAAUAUGAAAUAUGCAAAAUGGCUGUACUGUAUGAGG